rnacentral:rRNA from 1 species
UACGUAGGGGGCAAGCGUUGUCCGGAAUCAUUGGGCGUAAAGAGCGCGUAGGCGGUCCGGGUAAGUCCGCUCGUGAAAGUCCGGGGCCUCAACCCCGGGAGGCGGGCGGAUACUGUCGGGCUAGAGUCCGGAAGAGGCGAGUGGAAUUCCUGGUGUAGCGGUGAAAUGCGCAGAUAUCAGGAGGAACACCGGUGGCGAAGGCGGAUCUCUGGGCCAUUACUGACGCUGAGGAGCGAAAGCGUGGGGAGCGAACAGG